rnacentral:tRNA from 1 species
UGGGGUGCAGCUCAGUGGUAGAGUGCAUGCUUAGCUUGCCUGAGGUCCUGGGUUCAAUCCCUAGUACCUCCA